GUAUUGGCCUACCGUGGCAAUGACGGGUAACGGGGAAUUAGGGUUCGAUUCCGGAGAGGGAGCCUGAGAAACGGCUACCACAUCUAAGGAAGGCAGCAGGCGCGCAAAUUACCCAAUCCUAAUACAGGGAGGUAGUGACAAGAAAUAACAAUACAGGACUUUAAAUAGUUUUGUAAUUGGAAUGAGUUAAGUAUAAACCCCUUUACAAGUAUCAAUUGGAGGGCAAGUCUGGUGCCAGCAGCCGCGGUAAUUCCAGCUCCAAUAGCGUAUAUUAAAGUUGUUGCAGUUAAAAAGCUCGUAGUUGGAUUUCUGUUAAUAAUUUAUAUAUAAUAUUUUAUUAAUAUUUAUAUAGUAUUAACAUAAUUCAUAUUACUAUAUUUUAUAGUAUAUGAAAUUUUACUUUGAGAAAAUUAGAGUGCUUAAAGCAGGCAUUAGCCUUGAAUACUCCAGCAUGGAAUAAUAUAAAAGAUUUUUAUCUUUUUUAUUGGUUCUAAGAUAAAAAUAAUGAUUAAUAGGGACAGUUGGGGGCAUUUGUAUUUAA
rnacentral:rRNA from 1 species